rnacentral:rRNA from 1 species
UACAGAGGGUGCAAGCGUUAAUCGGAAUUACUGGGCGUAAAGCGUGCGUAGACGGUUACAUAAGUCGGGUGUGAAAGCCCCGGGCUCAACCUGGGGAUUGCAUUCGAGACUGCGUAGCUAGGGUGCGGAAGAGGGAAGCGGAAUUUCCGGUGUAGCGGUGAAAUGCGUAGAUAUCGGAAAGAACACCAACGGCGAAAGCACUCUGCUGGGCCGACACUGACACUGAGAGACGAAAGCUAGGGGAGCGAAUGGG